GCCCGGGUGGCUUAGUUGGUUAAGCGCCAGACUUCAGCUCAGGUCAUGAUCUCACGGUUCGUGGGUUUGAGCCCCGUGUCGGGCU
rfam:Felis catus isolate Cinnamon breed Abyssinian chromosome E3, whole genome shotgun sequence.